rnacentral:rRNA from 1 species
UUGAAGAGUUUGAUCAUGGCUCAGAUUGAACGCUGGCGGCAGGCCUAACACAUGCAAGUCGAACGGUAACAGGAAACAGCUUGCUGUUUCGCUGACGAGUGGCGGACGGGUGAGUAAUGUCUGGGAAACUGCCUGAUGGAGGGGGAUAACUACUGGAAACGGUAGCUAAUACCGCAUAACGUCGCAAGACCAAAGAGGGGGACCUUCGGGCCUCUUGCCAUCAGAUGUGCCCAGAUGGGAUUAGCUAGUAGGUGGGGUAACGGCUCACCUAGGCGACGAUCCCUAGCUGGUCUGAGAGGAUGACCAGCCACACUGGAACUGAGACACGGUCCAGACUCCUACGGGAGGCAGCAGUGGGGAAUAUUGCACAAUGGGCGCAAGCCUGAUGCAGCCAUGCCGCGUGUAUGAAGAAGGCCUUCGGGUUGUAAAGUACUUUCAGCGGGGAGGAAGGGAGUAAAGUUAAUACCUUUGCUCAUUGACGUUACCCGCAGAAGAAGCACCGGCUAACUCCGUGCCAGCAGCCGCGGUAAUACGGAGGGUGCAAGCGUUAAUCGGAAUUACUGGGCGUAAAGCGCACGCAGGCGGUUUGUUAAGUCAGAUGUGAAAUCCCCGGGCUCAACCUGGGAACUGCAUCUGAUACUGGCAAGCUUGAGUCUCGUAGAGGGGGGUAGAAUUCCAGGUGUAGCGGUGAAAUGCGUAGAGAUCUGGAGGAAUACCGGUGGCGAAGGCGGCCCCCUGGACGAAGACUGACGCUCAGGUGCGAAAGCGUGGGGAGCAAACAGGAUUAGAUACCCUGGUAGUCCACGCCGUAAACGAUGUCGACUUGGAGGUUGUGCCCUUGAGGCGUGGCUUCCGGAGCUAACGCGUUAAGUCGACCGCCUGGGGAGUACGGCCGCAAGGUUAAAACUCAAAUGAAUUGACGGGGGCCCGCACAAGCGGUGGAGCAUGUGGUUUAAUUCGAUGCAACGCGAAGAACCUUACCUGGUCUUGACAUCCACGGAAGUUUUCAGAGAUGAGAAUGUGCCUUCGGGAACCGUGAGACAGGUGCUGCAUGGCUGUCGUCAGCUCGUGUUGUGAAAUGUUGGGUUAAGUCCCGCAACGAGCGCAACCCUUAUCCUUUGUUGCCAGCGGUCCGGCCGGGAACUCAAAGGAGACUGCCAGUGAUAAACUGGAGGAAGGUGGGGAUGACGUCAAGUCAUCAUGGCCCUUACGACCAGGGCUACACACGUGCUACAAUGGCGCAUACAAAGAGAAGCGACCUCGCGAGAGCAAGCGGACCUCAUAAAGUGCGUCGUAGUCCGGAUUGGAGUCUGCAACUCGACUCCAUGAAGUCGGAAUCGCUAGUAAUCGUGGAUCAGAAUGCCACGGUGAAUACGUUCCCGGGCCUUGUACACACCGCCCGUCACACCAUGGGAGUGGGUUGCAAAAGUAGGUAGCUUAACCUUCGGGAGGGCGCUUACCACUUUGUGAUUCAUGACUGGGGUGAAGUCGUAACAAGGUAACCGUAGGGGAACCUGCGGUUGGAUCACCUCCUU